rnacentral:rRNA from 1 species
GAUGAACGCUGGCGGCGUGCUUAACACAUGCAAGUCGAACGGAAAGGCCCAAGCUUGCUUGGGUGCUCGAGUGGCGAACGGGUGAGUAACACGUGGGUGAUCUGCCCUGCACUUCGGGAUAAGCCUGGGAAACUGGGUCUAAUACCGGAUAGGAGCACUUCUUGGAUGUUGUGGGUUAAAGUUUUUUCGGUGUUGGAUGAGCUCGCGGCCUAUCAGCUUGUGGGUGGGGGAAUGGGAUACCAAGGCGUCUAGGGGGAGCCGGACUGGGAGGGUGUACGGCCAAAUUGGGGAUGAGAUAAGGCCCAGAAUCCUACGGGAGGCAGAAGUGGGGAAUAUUGAACAAUGGGGGCAAGCCUGGUGCAGGGAAGCCGCGUGGGGGAUGACGGCCUUCGGGUUGUAAAAUCCUUUCGCUAGGGAAGAAGCGUUUUGUGACGGUACCUGGAGAAGAAGCACCGGCUAACUACGUG